rnacentral:rRNA from 1 species
GGUUAGUCCCGCAACGAGCGCAACCCUAUUGUUAGUUGCCAUCAUUCAGUUGGGCACUCUAGCGAGACUGCCGGUAAUAAACCGGAGGAAGGCGGGAUGACGUCAAAUCAUCAUGCCCCUUAUGACCUGGGCUACACACGUGCUACAAUGGUUGGUACAACGAGUUGCGAGUCGGUGACGGCGAGCUAAUCUCUUAAAGCCAAUCUCAGUUCGGAUUGUAGGCUGCAACUCGCCUACAUGAAGUCGGAAUCGCUAGUAAUCGCGGAUCAGCACGCCGCGGUGAAUACGUUCCCGGGCCUU